rnacentral:rRNA from 1 species
GAUGAACGCUAGCGGCAGGCCUAAUACAUGCAAGUCGAACGGGAUCCAGAUCAAAGCUUGCUUUGGUUUGGUGAGAGUGGCGCACGGGUGCGUAACGCGUGAGCAACCUACCCUUGUCAGGGGGAUAGCCCGGCGAAAGUCGGAUUAAUACCGCAUGACAUCAUUGAGAGGCAUCUUUCGAUGAUCAAAGAUUUAUCGGACAAGGAUGGGCUCGCGUGACAUUAGCUAGUUGGUAAGGUAACGGCUUACCAAGGCUACGAUGUCUAGGGGCUCUGAGAGGAGAAUCCCCCACACUGGUACUGAGACACGGACCAGACUCCUACGGGAGGCAGCAGUAAGGAAUAGUGGUCAAUGGACGGAAGUCUGAACCAGCCAUGCCGCGUGCAGGAAGACGGCCCUAUGGGUUGUAAACUGCUUUUAUACGGGAACAAACGUCGGUACGUGUACCGGUCUGAGUGUACCGUAAGAAUAAGGAUCGGCUAACUCCGUG